UACGAAGGGGGCUAGCGUUGCUCGGAAUUACUGGGCGUAAAGCGCACGUAGGCGGUCUUUUAAGUCGGGGGUGAAAUCCUGGAGCUCAACUCCAGAACUGCCUCGAUACUGGAAGACUCGAGUCCGGGAGGGGUGAGUGGAACUGCGAGUGUAGAGGUGAAAUUCGUAGAUAUUCGCAAGAACACCAGUGGCGAAGGCGGCUCACUGGCCCGGUACUGACGCUGAGGUGCGAAAGCGUGGGGAGCAAACAGGG
rnacentral:rRNA from 1 species